rnacentral:tRNA from 1 species
GGAGGGGUGGCUGAGCGGUCUAAAGCGACGGUUUGCUAAAUCGUUGGGACGAAAGUUCCGCGCAGGUUCAAAUCCUGUCCCCUCCGCCA